AACAGACUGAAUGCUGCGCCUGAUAUGCGUCCGCCACUGACUGAAACGCACUACAAAAACGCAGACAGGCCCACCUAUCCCAUUAGCAAUGUUGAAAUGGUACAACAUGUUUUGUAUAAUUUAGAAACAGACUGAAUGCUGCGCCUGAUAUGCG